rnacentral:lncRNA from 1 species
UAGUCGGCGUUUUUACUCUGAUAAAAGAUAACAUCCGUACGUCGAUGUGAUGUGGAUGAAAGUGGAGAAUGUAUGUAUGUGUAUAUAUGCUACAUAGACUGCAUAUAUGUAUGUAUAGUUUGUAUAGGUGAUAGAUGUGAAUGCAUAGAUGGAUGAAUAGGCUACAUAGGCCGCAUAGAUGUAUGUAUAUGUGUAUAUGUAUGUGAAUUCAUAGAUGUAUGAUUAGGCUACAUAGAUGUAUGAAUAGGCUGCAUAGGCGUAUGAAUAGGCUACAUAUAUGUAUGAAUAGGCUGCA